UACGUAGGGGGCGAGCGUUGUCCGGAAUCAUUGGGCGUAAAGCGCGUGUAGGCGGCUCGAUAAGUCCGGUGUGAAACCUUGGGGCUCAACCCCAAGCCUGCACUGGAUACUGCCGAGCUAGAGUCCGGGAGGGGAGAGCGGAAUUCCUAGUGUAGCGGUGAAAUGCGCAGAUAUUAGGAGGAACACCAAUUGCGAAGGCAGCUCGCUGGGACGUUACUGACGCUGAGACGCGAAAGCGUGGGGAGCAAACAGG
rnacentral:rRNA from 1 species